GGCGCGGGGCUCCAGGGAGGGACGGGGCAGAGGGUCAAGGCCCGGCUGUGUGGGCUGAGGCCGUCCCUAGGAGGCUUGCGGCAGGAGCCGUGGGGGAGAGCCUUCGGGCGGAGACCCGGUGUGCAAACAGAGGGACAUCCAGCUCGACUGCAGAAGGGAAGUGGACAUGAAAAGGAAGAAGUGGGGGUCGGAAGGGAGGGGUUCACAGGGCCCCUGUAGGUCCAGGAGAGGAUUCUGGGCUUUGUUGCAGUACGGGGUGGAGGUUGGAAGAGUGAAGAUGCCGGUUCUAGAAGCUCAAAAGGAAACCCAAGAGAGGACGGUGGCUUGGGUUGGGGACGAUGGAGAUGGGGGAGGGGAGGUGUACAAAGGAUUUCAAGGAGCUCAGCAGUCAUCUGUGGUGAAAGAGUCAUUUCUAUAAUUUCUCCAGAGGAAAUGCAGGACAUCAGGACGAAUCUGUGCUACUUUUGAUCAAAAGAUGUGCUUGACUAAGGGGGCCCUGGGCAGGCAGCCAGGCCUUGCCCCUGAGCUGUGAUGCCGGGGGCAUUGGAGCCGAGAGGGAAGGGAAGCAGCCCAGUGGUGGGGUAGAGCGGCCUCCAGCAGAGGCAUGAUCGAGUGAUAGAUGUACUGAAACGGAAAGAAUGCUUAGCAGGGCGCCUGGGUGGCCCAGUCGGUUAAGCGUCCGACUUCGGCUCGGGUCAAGAUCUCACCAUUCCUGUUUGAGCUCUACGUCGGGCUCUGUGCUGACAGCUCAGAGCCUGGAGCCUGCUUUGGAUUCUGUCUCUCUGCCCCUCCCCUGCUCUCUCUCUCUCUC